rnacentral:misc_RNA from 1 species
GAUGAAGAACGCAGCGAAAUGCGAUAAGUAGUGUGAAUUGCAGAUUUCAGUGAAUCAUCGAAUCUUUGAACGCACAUUGCGCCCUUUGGUAUUCCUUAGGGCAUGCCUGUUCGAGCGUCAUUUAAACCUUCAAGCUCAGCUUGGUGAUGGGUGACUGUCCGCUGCCUCCCCCCGGGGUGCGCCGCGGACUCGCCUCAAAACGAUUGGCGGCCGGUACGUUGGCUUCGAGCGCAGCAGAAACGCGUAACUCGAGGACCCCGUGGCGGCUCCCAGAAGCAACCUUAUUAUUUUGACCUCGGAUCAGGUAGGGAUACCCGCUGAACUUAAGCAUAUCAAUAAGCGGAGGA